rnacentral:rRNA from 1 species
UACAGAGGUCCCAAGCGUUGUUCGGAUUCAUUGGGCGUAAAGGGUGCGUAGGCGGCGCGGUAAGUCGGGUGUGAAAUCUCGGGGCUUAACUCCGAAACUGCAUUCGAUACUGCCGUGCUUGAGGACUGGAGAGGAGACUGGAAUUUACGGUGUAGCGGUGAAAUGCGUAGAGAUCGUGAGGAAGACCCGUGGCGAAGGCGGAUCUCUGGACGGCUAACUGACGCUGAGGCGCGAAGGCCAGGGGAGCAAACGGG